UCUUAUUCCCAACACAAGUUCAUUAUUUUCCGGGCAGUUCAUUUUCUGCGAUGCACAGUUAAGGUUUAAAAAGUACAAAGAGUAAAAAUAGAAGUUCAGUUCACUGUGAUGAAAAGUUCACUUUUAUAUUCCGUGGGGGGUUCAGUUCUUCCAAAUAUGAAGGUUGCUUAUUUUUGAAGAUUUUAUCACUGAAUUUCAUGUAAUUGGUGAACUUCUCGAAAAUGUGAUAUAAUGUUCGAUGUCUAUUCACAGCAAGAAAAUCACACAUACAACACUGGGCAGUUUUUAUGCGAUACUGGGUACAUAAUACAAAGCUAUGGAGUGCUGAUCAACUAUGUGCCUUCAUUAUACUACAAUAUUUCAGCAGGGACUCCCAGAGCGCUGCCACCCUAACAAGGCGAUGCCGUAGAGGACGAGGACAUAAACUUGGUGUCGGUCCCAUGCUGCUUCUGGUUGGUGGUGGCGACUUGACAGUGGCUCCCUGUCAAUGGCAUCGUCAAGCCUAACUGCCUCGCGCUGCAGGACUUUUGUCGCAGGAGCAUCACCAGGAUGGAAGCGUCGUGGGAUGCCUGAAGUUUACGGACACUAAUUCAUGUAGUUGUCUUCUCCUAUUCGUGGAGUUCAUGUCCCCUAAUACUUCACUUUAGAUUAUUCAUGUUGGGUGGAUUUUUAUUCGAGAAUGUUAGAUAGGCCAUUUGUGAAUUUUGCCUCUGAUGUUUCCGCUUUGAGGUGGAUAAUUUUUUGUAUAUUAACUAUGUGUGAAGUUCACUGUUAUGCAUCUGGGAGAGCAGUACACUUUUUUUUGUGAAAAAGAUGUUCAGAUGACUAUAUGAAAAGUUCACUUCUACA